rnacentral:misc_RNA from 1 species
CCUAGAGUUUGUGGACUUCGGUCUGCUACCUCUUACCCAUGUCUUUUGAGUACCUUCGUUUCCUCGGCGGGUCCGCCCGCCGGUUGGACAACAUUCAAACCCUUUGCAGUUGCAAUCAGCGUCUGAAAAAACUUAACUAGUUA